ACCCUAAGAGUGUUGAGGCCUUCUGCUUUUUACUUAUGUCCCUAGAAAGUGUCAUCUGCGUGCUCAGUAAAGACCAGGUAAAUGAGUAUGGCUACCUGCCCGGUGGACCAAUGCUAAGGGCCAGAGGUAGGAAGCCUUUGGAAGUCUGCGCCCAAGAAGUAUUUUCCCUCACAAAACAAAGUUGUCUUUCUAAAGGGAAAUGUCCCACCCCACAAAAGGCAGAGAAAAGUACAGGAGGAGACAAGACUGUGAAAGGACAUGCACUUUGGAGUUGGGCAGAAUACUUUAGGAUGUGACUAUAAUUGGACAUGGGGCCAUUAAAGAAGUAGAUGAAAGGACCAUUAGUGUGAACUUGCUUCUUAUUUGAUGGAUGCCUUGUACAUCACAAGAAGGCAAAGACAUCGGCAGGCUAAGAAGACAGAUCUCACAAGAAACUACCCCUUCUAAUACUUCUGUAUCUCAGACUUACAGCUUCUAGAACUAUAAAGACUCUUCCCAUAUCAGCCUCUUCAUGAUGUGGCAUCCAGAAUGAAUUUUCCUCUGGCAUCAAAGCGUACAGCAUACAGCUCAUCCACUCACUAAUUUUAUUGGAUUUAGAAGGAAGUCAUAGAUUCCUUUGAGUGUUCUCCCAGUUCGUGAGCAUAUGUGGAAUGUCCUUGUGUAGUUUCUCUCUCCCCUCACCUCCCUUCUCUUCUUCAUCUCUUUAUGUACUCAUCCAUCUGUCCAACUGUGGCACUCAUAGGCUUCCAUAGCUCUGGUGCAUGUUGUAAACAUCUAAUCCUAGCUUAUUAAUUUCCUGAUGCCUCUGCGUACUUGUUCCAGUUCAGAUCUAGUGUGGACGUCUAUUUAUCUACCCUCGUUUAUCCACUGCGCUAUUUCCCAAGGCUUGGAAAGCAAACCCGCUUUAUUUUUCUUGGCUUAUACCUAGUAGAAUGCAACCUCAUACAAAGUAGAAAACGCACCCUUUUUCCCUAAAGAAGAUACAAUAAUAAUUCUUCUUCUAAACAAAAAGCUAAGGGCUUGCAUAGCUCGUCAGGCAGAGCAUCUUAGCUCUGGUUUCAGUGUGCAUUAUAAAUUGAGAUAGAAAACACAGAUGGCAGGGCAAGAGCUUCAUGCUUUUCUCUGCCCACUGAGGCUGGGUACCACCAGAUGCUCCUCAGUAGUGGGAGGGGCCGGGGCAGGUACAUGGGUGGGAUCUGCAAGCCUUUGGCUCUGUUUUGUGGCACAGUGCAUCUGCCUCGAUGACUCAUCUCACUCCAUUUCUGUUUCCUACAGGCGGUACGAUUUAUCGUUUGACAUUGCUUCUCAGAUACAUUAUCCAGGACUACACAAAGGCUGAGCUUAUAAGUAGACUCGAGAAUAAUGUAAACACAUUGAGCAUCCAGAAAGUCACACAAGAGAAACUGCAUUGUGAAGAAGACACUUUUAAGAGUCUGUGGCCAAGACAGUUGUGCAAACGAAUUCUGUCUCCAAGAGCAGUACAGACACGCUGCCAUCAAAUCACCUCAAUAACGUCUUUCUGGUAAAGGGAAGAGGACAACUUAUAAUUUCUCUUCAAGUGUAUUGAUUUUGGCCUUGUUAUCUUACUUUUUAGAAGCAGUUCAGACACUGCAAAUAACUUCUUCAGAGUGAAGGAUGACAGGCCAAUUAGCUGCCAAAUCAAGGGUGAGAGAACCAAGGGACACGUGACUAGAAAAUUCCACUUACCUGAACAGCCAGGGUCCAAGGGAAGUUUGCAUUCAGAAAGAGAUAGAUGCAGUGUUUUCUUUCUGCCUUUGUAACCUAGCAAAGAACAAGCCUAAAGAAAUCCAGCUCCGAAUAGACAAUAGCAACUUCCUGUUGCUAUAAAAAGUAAUAAUAAGCCGCUAACCAGGGAAAUGAAGACCCGGCAGUAAUGAUUAAACAAGAGAGAGGAAAUCGGCAUUAGAGACUCGGGACUUGAAAUAAUAAUAACCACUUGCCAAGGAUUAUUGUGUGAUUAUUAGCCACAGAUGUUUUCCUUGGCCAUCCAAGAGCAGCAGACCAGGACACUGAGGUUUCUUCCUCAGUGAAAGGUGGAGUUGCAACACCAAGCACUCAUAAGCCUCACCCCCAACACUAAGCCAAAAAUCAGUUUAAAUAACCUCCAACCCCAGAAAUUACCAAAUGGAUGGAGGGGACUCGGAGACUGCCUCAUGGGAGGAAGCAUUCAAGCACUGGAUUUAGUGCCAUAGAAAACAGUUCUUAAUAUUCUCUGGAAUUAGAAAAAAACGGAAUGCUAAUUCUUUAAGGAAGUCAACCGAGAGCCAGGAUUGGCAAAUAUCAUUAGGACAUUCGAUUUAAUUUAUUGCUUGUGGAUGCUAACGUAAUUGAACGGAUGCAGAUAGGCUGCAGAAUUAGACAUUUUCCUCUGUAUGUCUGUGGCCUGCCCCCCCUUUUUUUAUUGGAAUGAGUCAUGACACUGUAUGGUCCUCGUGCAUCCAAAGCCUGAGGGAACGGGGUGUGUGCCCGCUUGUAGGCACAGCCUGCUGUAGCAGUAUAAUACGUCCCUAACUGUUCCGGCUGCCAAAUAUGUCAUGUCUUUUUUUUUUUCUU